CACUUGAUUCCACAUGGUAUUCUAUCUCACGUAUCAGACAGUUACCAAUAUGGAGAAGAAGUAACGUACAAAUGCAACGAAGGUUUUGAGAUUAACGGACCUGCAUUCAUAAGAUGUAUAGGAGGAAAAUGGUCCCAUCCACCAGAGUGCAAAAACACGGAUUGUUUUAGCUUACCCGACUUCGGUAAUGCCACACCCAUAGGCCAGAAGAAGACGUCAUAUAGGUCAGGAGAAAAAGUGACUUAUAAAUGUCCAAAUAAUUACCUUUUGGAUGGACCAAAUACUAUCCAGUGUAUUAACAGCCAAUGGAUAGGAAAGCCAAUAUG